rfam:Fictibacillus phosphorivorans strain G25-29, complete genome.
AAACCAGAAGAAUAAAGCCCUCAUAUAAUUUCGGGGAUAUGGCCCGUAAGUCUCUACCUGAUGACCGUUAUUUCAUCAGACUAUGAGGGAAAGCAUCUUUCUG